rnacentral:lncRNA from 1 species
AAAAUUCCAGAAACAGUCAAAUCUCCACCUUUGUGUUCUUGGCUGAAAAUUGCAUUCUUGUUGUGUCUUGUCCGAGAUUUGUUUGUUGUAUGUCUAGAUCUAGUAGUGUUCUUUUUUGUUUUGUUGUUUUUAGUGUUAGUUUUCUUGUCCACUAACACUUUGAGUCUAGAUCUAAACUUGAGCUUGAACUUGUUGAAUUUGUAGUUGUCUUGGCCAAGUGUUGGAGAUAUUGUUAUUGUGGAUUGGAGUUGGCUGUGU